UCCCAGUUUUAGGGGUGCCUUAAUAAUACGGGCUGAGAUCAUACCCAUUGAACCUGAUACGGUUAGUACCGGCGAAGGGAAAAACAAGGGAAACAAA
rnacentral:ncRNA from 2 species